rnacentral:rRNA from 1 species
UAACGGCCGCGGUAUUUUGACCGUGCAAAGGUAGCGCAAUCAAUUGUCUUUUAAAUGGAGACCUGUAUGAAUGGCCUAACGAGGGCUUAACUGUCUCCCCCUUCUGGUCAGUGAAAUUGAUCUAUCCGUGCAGAAGCGGGUAUAAAUAUACAAGACGAGAAGACCCUUUGGAGCUUAAGGUACCAACUUUAACCAUGUUCAACAACUUAUUAAAGGGCAAAAACUUAAUGGAAAAUAGGCAUUUACCUUCGGUUGGGGCGACCACGGAGGAAAAAUCAGCCUCCGAGUGGAGCGGGGGGAAUCCCUAAAACCCAGAGAGACAUCUCUAAGCCGCAAAAAAUUUGACCAAAAAUGAUCCGACACAUAGUCGAUCAACGAACCAAGUUACCCUAGGGAUAACAGCGCAAUCCUCUCCCAGAGUCCAUAUCGACGAGGGGGUUUACGACCUCGAUGUUGGAUCAGGACAUCCUAAUGGUGCAGCCGCUAUCAAGGGUUCGUUUGUUCAACGAUUAAAGUCCUACGUGAUCUGAGUUCAGACCGGAGUAAUCCAGGUCAGUUUCUAUCUGUAAUGCUACU